UUUAGCUCAGUGGUAGAGUGUUUGCCUACCAUAUGUAAGGCCUUGGGUUCAAUCCCCAGUAGGAAG
rnacentral:tRNA from 1 species